rnacentral:tmRNA from 1 species
GGGGUUAAUCGGAAUUGACGGGGUGAUUGAUUAGCGGUGUAAGCAGGUGGUGUGUUGUAAGGAGGCACCUAAAUCUGAACUUUCAAUCUUUUAAGAGGCGAAAAUAACUACGCCCUAGCUGCCUAACCCGAGUGGUAGAGCAAUUGCUAGUUGUCUCGAUUUCCUUUACUCAUGCCGGAAAUCGCUCGAGGCAAUCGACACGCAUGGGUAUGAUUUGAGGGUUGCCAGAGACUCAUUUCAUUAUUUCUUUGGAUAAGGGGCGAUGAAGGCUUGGACCGGGCCUUAUCACUCACGAAAAUUAACCGAUUCCUAAACCUGUAGAAAGCGCCAGCAGUCGCACGUUCGGACGGGGGUUCGAUUCCCCCUAACUCCACCA